rnacentral:rRNA from 1 species
ACUGCUCAGUAACACGUGGAUAACCUGCCCUUGGGUCCGGCAUAACCCCGGGAAACUGGGGAUAAUUCCGGAUAACGCACAUAUGCUGGAAUGCUUUAUGCGUAAAAUGGAUUCGUCUGCCCAAGGAUGGGUCUGCGGCCUAUCAGGUAGUAGUGGGUGUAAUGUACCUACUAGCCGACGACGGGUACGGGUUGUGAGAGCAAGAGCCCGGAGAUGGAUUCUGAGACAUGAAUCCAGGCCCUACGGGGCGCAGCAGGCGCGAAAACUUUACAAUGCGGGAAACCGUGAUAAGGGGACACCGAGUGCCAGCAUCAUAUGCUGGCUGUCCAGAUGUGUAAAAUACAUCUGUUAGCAAGGGCCGGGCAAGACCGGUGCCAGCCGCCGCGGUAACACCGGCGGCCCGAGUGGUGAUCGUGAUUAUUGGGUCUAAAGGGUCCGUAGCCGGUUUGGUCAGUCCUCCGGGAAAUCUGAUAGCUCAACUAUUAGGCUUUCGGGGGAUACUGCCAGACUUGGAACCGGGAGAGGUAAGAGGUACUACAGGGGUAGGAGUGAAAUCUUGUAAUCCCUGUGGGACCACCUGUGGCGAAGGCGUCUUACCAGAACGGGUUCGACGGUGAGGGACGAAAGCUGGGGGCACGAACCGGAUUAGAUACCCGGGUAGUCCCAGCCGUAAACGAUGCUCGCUAGGUGUCAGACAUGGCGCGACCGUGUCUGGUGCCGCAGGGAAGCCGUGAAGCGAGCCACCUGGGAAGUACGGCCGCAAGGCUGAAACUUAAAGGAAUUGGCGGGGGAGCAC